AACGAACGCUGGCGGCGUGGAUAAGACAUGCAAGUCGAACGCUGACAUUCAGGUAGCAAUAUUUGGAUGUUGGAGUGGCGCAAGGGUGUGUAACACGUGGGUAAUCUGCCAUAAAGCCUGGGAUAACUCGCUGAAAGGCGAGCUAAUACCGGAUGUGAACGCAAGUUCAAAGCUGGGGAUCGUAAGACCUGGCACUUUAUGAUGAGCCCGCGGCCAUCAGCUAGUUGGUGAGGUAACGGCUCACCAAGGCUAAGACGGGUAGCUGGUCUGAGAGGACGACCAGCCACACUGGAACUGAGACAC
rnacentral:rRNA from 1 species